AAAUACGGAGCCUGGUGCGUGGCAGUUACUUUGACCGAAAACUGCCAGGAAACUGCAAAACGGCGAGGAACACGCAGACUCGGAACGGAGUGCGGCGGGGGUGCCUGGCUGGCUGUCGGUGGGGCCGUGACCCUUGAGCUCAGCUCUGGAGUUUAAGCACCACGUUGGGCAUGGAGCCUGCUUUAAAAAAAGAACUAACUGUGGAAAAGCCAAACCGAAAAUGUUGCCAAAGGAAGAAGUGUACCUUCUACAGGACUGACGGUAGAUGAGGACCCACAUCGUAUUUCUUCAAGGCCUGCUGGGACCAAGUGAGAGGUACAAGUCAUGGCGAAGGCAUCCGUCCCGAAUAAACGUAUUGCUGCCACUUGACCCAGCUGCCAGCAAAACAACCAGAGAAGGAACCAGGCCACUCCCACCCAUGAAGGUCCCCUUUCAGAGAGCCCUACGUGACCAAGAUGGCUGACCACUGCAUGACUUCGCUUCUUCCCAAGCCCUUAUCCCCAC